GCUGGGAUAGCUCAGCUGGUAGAGCAUGAGGCUCUUAAUCUCAAGGUUGUGGGUUCAAGACUCAUGUUGGGUA